UGUAGCUCCUUGUCACUGGCCUUGCUCGCUCUGGGGGAGGGGCCAGCGGGUCGUGAGGGCCCUGUGAGCCACUUUGGAGAGGCCCCCGUGGAGGGGCCGAGGCUCCCGCCAACAGCCGCUGCGGGAGCGGCCCUGGGGGGUGAGCCCUCCCACCCCGGUCAAGCCUUCAGAUGACUGUGGCUCGGGUCCCAUCCUGACUACAACCUCCUGAGAGACCCUGAGCCAGAAAAAGCCAGACCUGAACUCCCACAUAAAAUGUGAGGCAUAACCAAGUCUGGGCUGUGCGUCCGCAGGACACUCAGGAUGGGCCCGGUGCGGAUUGCAGCUCCAGCCUUGCAAAGGGGGAAGACAAAAGAACCAGGGACAAGAAAAAUAAAAGAAAGAAUGCCGGGGAGGAGACCGUGUGAUGUGGCUGCGCGUGGCCUCAGCAUGCCAGGAACCCACCCCUCCACAGGCGGGUGUCAACCGCUUCCAAUCUUAUCUCCACAUGCACUUGACGAUGUUAAAAAUAAAUUUUCUCUGGCUAGAC